UUCCACAUGAACUGUCAGAAAAAGAAAAACUGCAACAGUCCAAUAAAUUCCGAAGAAUGCUACACGUUUCUGUGUGCAUGCACUUGUGUUGAUGGGUGUCGAGUGAGAAAGUGCUUACAGUUCCGUGGCACAAUGAUUUGGAUGCAUAUUUGAAGUCACAGGUACAGGGUGAAGAUUCCACUUAGCUGACCUUCCCAGACCUGAUGUGAUGUGGCAGUCAGGCCUGUGUGGAGCACUUUAAUCUCCCUAAGAUGGUGAUCCAAGCCAGUGGCAGCUGUGCUAUCCCAGCCCUGUGCUCCCAGGCUAAGCUCAAACCUUCUGCCUGCCCCAGCAUGGCCUCUCUUUCUCCUGCUUUGCUGUGAUGCUCCACUGGAGAGGAAUUUUUUACAAUGAACAGCAUCUGCUGGUGGAGGUUUACCAGAUGGAAGACAUGAUGUUCUCACAGCCUGUGAACGCAGCAGGAAAAAGCUCAAACCAUGAGGCAGAACUGCCCACUAAUGGAAAAAUGGCUUAAUCAGAAGAACAUGCAGUGAGCUAAAGUAUUAGCAGGGAUUCCAAGGAUGAGCCUUGUACACAGAAAAGGCUCUGCUGAAUUCACAUUUAAAAGCUGCAAAGUUUAUCUCCUAACAUUGAUCUCCUGUCAGCAUGACACUCUACUCUAUGAAUAAAUAUUAUUGUGCUGUCAUUACAUCUUCAGUAAACUCUGUCAACAUUAAGAUAUUUUUGCAACAUGAAGAUAUUUUCUCAUCUCAAAUCCAGUGCUCCGCACAACAGGUUAGUACUUGCUUAGACAAAUGUGAUAAUUAAAUGUAACUUCAUAAACUGUAUAUAACGCAUAUGCAGCUUAAUAGCUGAUGAGCUGACCAGCUAAUGGUUUGUAUAAGUACACUGAUACAUUUUGAUAUCUUGAGCAUUAUAAGUACUAACCUGUUGUGUUAGUACUAAGUACUUCUUUUAAUCUUUCCAAAGCAUAAUUUUGUUUUACAGUUAUCAGUUCAAGCGUAGCAAGCUGUUAGCUAAACUUGCAAAAUUUAAAUUAUGAAGUACUGGUUUGCUAUGGAUCUCUGCUUAGAGGUCCAUUUAUUCAACACUUUAAGACAUAUGUAAAUAACAAUGUAAGGAAAAUCAUUCAAUGAAACAUAACACUUUACUAAACACAUCGUAAGCAGCAUUCAUUUACUGAAGAGAUGUUUACUUUCA